GACGAACGCUGGCGGCGUGCUUAACACAUGCAAGUCGAACGGCAAGGCCCUGCUUUUGUGGGGUGCUCGAGUGGCGAACGGGUGAGUAACACGUGAGUAACCUGCCCUUGACUUUGGGAUAACUUCAGGAAACUGGGGCUAAUACCGGAUAGGAGCCCCUGCUGCAUGGUGGGGGUUGGAUAGUUUCGGCGGUUGGGGAUGGACUCGCGGCUUAUCAGCUUGUUGGUGGGGUAGUGGCUUACCAAGGCAUUGACGGGUAGCCGGCCUGAGAGGGUGACCGGCGACAUUGGGACUGAGAUACGGCCCAGACUCCUACGGGAGGCAGCAGUGGGGAAUAUUGCACAAUGGGCGGAAGCCUGAUGCAGCAACGCCGCGUGCGGGAUGACGGCCUUCGGGUUGUAAACCGCUUUCGCCUGUGACGAAGCGUGAGUGACGGUAAUGGGUAAAGAAGCACCGGCUAACUACGUG
rnacentral:rRNA from 1 species